rnacentral:tRNA from 1 species
GUCCCAAUAGUUCAGCCGGAUAGAAUGCUAGCCUCCGACGCUAGAGAUCGUGGGUUCGAAUCCCGCUUGGGACA